UACGUAGGGGGCGAGCGUUGUCCGGAUUUACUGGGCGUAAAGCGCGUGUAGGCGGCGGCUUAAGUCGGGUGUGAAAGCCCGGGGCUCAACCCCGGGAUGCCGCUCGAGACUGGGUCGCUUGAGGACGGAAGAGGGGCGUGGAAUUCCUGGUGUAGCGGUGAAAUGCGUAGAGAUCAGGAGGAACACCCGUGGCGAAGGCGGCGCCCUGGUCCGUUACUGACGCUGAGACGCGAAAGCGCGGGGAGCGAACGGGAUUAGAUACCCCGGUAGUCCGCGCCGUAAACGAUGGUCACUAGGUGUGCGAGGUAUCGACCCCUCGCGUGCCGUCGCUAACGCAGUAAGUGACCCGCCUGGGGAGUACGGCCGCAAGGUUGAA
rnacentral:rRNA from 1 species